ACCUGGUGGGCUCAGUUGGUGGAGUGUGGGACUUUUGAUCUCUGGGUUGUGAGUUCGAGCCCCACGUUAGGUG
rnacentral:tRNA from 1 species